UAAGACGAACCGUGCGAACGUUGUUCGGAAUCACUGGGCUUAAAGGGCGCGUAGGCGGAUCAGCAAGUCCGGGGUGAAAUCCUCCGGCUUAACCGGAGAAGUGCCUUGGAUACUGCUGGUCUCGAGGGAGGUAGGGGUCAUUGGAACUUCUGGUGGAGCGGUGAAAUGCGUUGAUAUCAGAAGGAACGCCGGUGGCGAAAGCGAAUGACUGGAUCUCUUCUGACGCUGAGGCGCGAAAGCUAGGGGAGCGAACGGGAUUAGAUACCCCGGUAGUCCUAGCCCUAAACGUUGGGUACUAGAUUGCGGACUUGCAUGGGUUCGCAGUCGAAGCAAAAGUGAUAAGUACCCCGCCUGGGGAGUAUGGUCGCAAGGCUG
rnacentral:rRNA from 1 species